UUCCGACCCCAGGUCAGGUGGGACUACCCGCUGAGUUUAAGC
rnacentral:rRNA from 1 species